rnacentral:rRNA from 1 species
UACGUAGGGUGCAAGCGUUAAUCGGAAUUACUGGCGUAAAGCGUGCGCAGGCGGUGAUGUAAGACAGGUGUGAAAAUCCCCGGGCUUAACCUGGAACUGCAUUUGUGACGUGGCAUCGCUGGAGUGCGGCAGGAGGGGAUGGAAUUCCGCGUGUAGCAGUGAAAUGCGUAGAUAUGCGGAGGAACACCGAUGGCGAAGGCAAUCCCCGUGGGCCUGCAC